rnacentral:rRNA from 1 species
UGAGGAAUAUUGGUCAAUGGGCGAGAGCCUGAACCAGCCAAGUAGCGUGCAGGAUGACGGCCCUAUGGGUUGUAAACUGCUUUUAUAAGGGAAUAAAGUGAGUCUCGUGAGACUUUUUGCAUGUACCUUAUGAAUAAGGACCGGCUAAUUCCGUGCCAGCAGCCGCGGUAAUACGGAAGGUCCGGGCGUUAUCCGGAUUUAUUGGGUUUAAAGGGAGCGUAGGCCGUCGCUUAAGCGUGUUGUGAAAUGCUGCCGCUCAACGGCAGAAUUGCAGCGCGAACUGGGUGACUUGAGUGCGCGGAACGUGGGCGGAACUCGUCGUGUAGCGGUGAAAUGCUUAGAUAUGACGAAGAACUCCGAUUGCGAAGGCAGCUCACGGUAGCGUUACUGACGCUGAAGCUCGAAAGUGCGGGUAUCGAACAGGAUUAGAUACCCUGGUAGU